AUCAAACCUACUCACACUCACUCAUCACUCAUUCAUCAGAACUGUAUCUAUCUCCUCUCUUCCUCUCGGUCUCUCUCUCACUCUCACUCGCGAUUUUCAUCUGUGCACUCACUCAGCGAUCGAAUCUCUCUCUCACAAGAUCGACCGAUCGAUCGACCUCAUCGCACACAGUCUCUUACUCUCUGGUUUUGCAUCCACACCGAUCGGCUCUCUCUCACAGUUUAAAUGGAGGAUAGUAUUCAAUCUCCCGCAAUCAAUCUUGUACCUCCGGAAUCCUCUAAUUCUCAAAUGAAUCCCCUCUUAGUCGAACCCGAACCUGAAC